GUAGAGCCUCACUUAUCCAACAUAAACGAGCCGGCAGAACGUUAGGUUAUGAUUUUACAAAUUAAGCACCAAAACAUCAUGUUAUACAACAAAUUUGACAGAAAAAGUAGUUCAAUAUGCAGGAAUGCUAUGUAGUAAUUCUUGUAUUUAUGAAUUUAGCACCAAAAUAUCAUGAUGUAUUGAAAACAUUGACUACAAAAAUGUGUUGGAUAAUUCAGAACGUUGGAUAAGCGAGGCUUGGAUAAGUGAGACUCUACUGUAUAACAUUAUCAAAUAACUUUGUUUCUAGACUGCCCUCUACCCCCAAAGGGACUCAAAUAUUAUUAAUAAUAAUAUAAUACAAAUAUAAUAUAAAUAAUAAUAUACUUCAUUUCUAGACCGCCCUCUCUCUGAAAAGGGACUCAAAUAUUAUUAUUAUUAUUGGAUACAGAACAAGAUGAGUGCACAGCAAACAAGAUCACUAUGGAGGCUGAUAAUACUUCAGACAGUUCCCUAUUAUUAUUAUUAAGCAGAGGCUGGACGGCCAUCUGUCGGGAAGGCUUUGCUGGUGUCUUUGUGGCAGAAGGGAUUGGACUGGAUAUAAUAAUAAUAAUAAUAAUAAUAAGAAUAAGAAAUACAAUAUUAUCAAAGAAUUUUGUUUUUAGACUGCCCUCUCCCCCCAAAGAGACUCAUAUAUUAUUAAUAAUAAUAUAAUACAAAUAUAAUAUAAAUAAUAAUAUACUUCAUUUCUUGACCGCCCUCUCUCUGCAAAGGGACUCAAAUAUUAUUAUCAUUAUUAUUAUUGGAUACAUAACAAGAAGAGUAAACAGCAAACAAGAUCACUAUGGAGGCUUUUGUACUGGAUAACAUGUCUGACAGUUCCUUAUUAUUAUUAUUAUUAUUAUUAUUAUUAUUAUUAUUAUUACUGUAAUCUAAAUAAUAAUAAUAUACUUCAUUUCGAGACCGCCCUCUCCCCGCAAAGGGACUCAAACUUUCCUAUCAUCAUCAUCAUCAUCAUCAUCAUCAUCAUCAUCAUCAUCUAAUUACUUAUUAAUCGCCCUCCAUCCACGAUGCUCUAGGCGAUUUACAAGAUAAAAUGGUAAAGGAUAAAAAUACAUACAGCAGAGUCUCACUUAUCCAACACUCACUUAUCCAACAUUCUGGAUUAUCCAACGCUUUUUUGUAGUCAAUGUUUUCAAUACAUCGUGAUAUUUUGGUGCCAAGUUCGUAAAAACAGUAAUUUAUACAUAGCAUUACUGCGUAUUGAACUACUUUUUCUGUCAAAUUUGUUGUAUAACAUGACGUUUUGGUGCUUAAUUUGUAAAAUCAAAACCUAAUUUGAUGUUUAAUAGGUUUUUCCUUAAUCCCUCCUUAUUAUCCAACAUAUUCGCUUAUCCAACAUUCUGCUGGCCCGUUUAUGUUGGAUAAGUGAGACUCUACUGUACAUACAAAUAUUAAUAAAAUUAACAUAGAUUAAAAGCUCUAGUAAAGAGCCAGGUCUUGAGUGCUAGGGUAAAAGGCCCUAACUCACGUAUGGCUCUCAUCUAGGGCGGCAAGGCAUUAUCAUGAUUAAGCAGUAGCUGGACGGCCAUCAGCCGGGAGGGCUUUGAUUGUGGCACAGGGGGCUGGACUGGAUGCCCUUUGGGGUCUCUCUUCCCACUCUAGGAUAUUAUGAUUCUGGUUCUUCUUAAGCCGAGUCUGGGAAGCACUGGCCGGGUUUGGGCCGACCCGCGUCCCCUUCCCUUCCCCUCCCCACCCCGGACGCCCCGGUUAGGGCACCCCGAAGCGCCCCCCUCGGCGGCCCGCCUUGCCGGGGCCUUCCUGGUAGGCCCACAGGCGGGCGCCGCUCUGGCCUUGGGCGCCGCUCUUGGCGCCUUCCUCGUCCUCCUCCUCCUCGUCGCCACAGUUGGUGACUUUGGCCCAGACCCACAUCAUGCCCGCGCCGGAGGGGUCCCUGACCUGGUGGACCCACACAUCCGCGGGCGGGCCCUUCUGCCUGGGGACCCAGACCUGGCGGGGCUCCGGGGCGCUCCCGGCCCGGUUCCCCUCGGCCUCCCAGCCCUUGGAGGCCCGGCGCGGCUUGCGCGGCACCCAGACCUCCGCUGCGGCCUCCCUCAGGGCCGGCUUGGGGAGGCCUCCCGAGAGGCUGCGGCUGAGGCCUCGCGCGCCGAGCUCCCAGGCCCCGCGGCGCGAGGCGGCCUCCCGGCAGGCCUCGCCCGCCCAGGAGAUGCCUUUCUCCCGCCGAGAGGCCUUGCUGUCCUCCGGCGCCCACGAGGCCUGCGUCGCCGCGUCCCUCCGCGCCGCCCUCGGGGGCCCUUCCCCGGCCGCCUCCUCCUCCUCCUCCUCCCGCUCCCCGCGCGGCCCGCUCUCCUCGGGGCCCCCCAUGCCGCUCGCUCGCCCGCCUCGCCUCGCUCGCUCGCUCUCUCUGCCUCUCGCCUCACCUCAACGCGCCUCUCCUCAGCGGACACCACCCGCCCCUCUGCGCAUGCGGGGAGCCGCCAUCUUGCCCACAGCCCUGCCGCCGCGCUCUUCCCUCACGUGACGCCAGGCAAAGAAGAAGGCCUCGCUGGGCCUGUUCCGAGCUGACUGGCCCUGUCACAGAAGCAUCCUCUCCUGACGUUUCGCCCACGUCUAUGGCAGCCAUCCUCACAGCUCCGGAGUGGGCCGCUCGGGGGCCUUCUGCCUUCUCUACGCCGCGAUGCAGGAGGUGGAGGCCGGCAACAGCAUCCCGGACUAGGCCCGGAUGGUGAAGAGGAUCCGCCAGCAGAGGAAGCACAUGCUGCAGGAGAAGCUCCACCUCAAGUUCUGCUUCGAGGCCGUCCUGAAACACGCCAAGCAGGUCCUGCAGAGGCACGGGGUCAUCGCCGCCUCUGCCGGCAAGCCGCCCAGCAGCACCGCCGGACCCCAGAAGCUGAACAGUACAUGUGUGAUAUCCUCCACCUCUGAUUCUCCACAAAUACAAUAUAAUAAUAAUAAUAAUAAUAAUAAUAAUAAUAAUAAUAAUAAUAUCAGGACCUCAAGAUUGAACUGCAAAGACUCUGGCAGAAACCAGUGCAGGUGGUCCCGGUGGUGAUGGGCACACUGGGUGCCGUGCCGAAAGAUCUCAGCCGGCAUUUGGAAACAAUAGGCAUUGACAAAAUCACAAUCUGCCAACUGCAAAAGGCCACCCUGCUGGGAUCUGCACGCAUCAUCCGAAAAUACAUCACACAGUCCUAGACACUUGGGAAGUGUUCGACUUGUGAUUUUGUGAAACGAAACCCGGCGUAUCUGUCUCGUUUGCUGUGUCAUACAACAUCGUUGUGUCAAUAAUAAUAAUAAUAAUAAUCACACAGUCCUAAAUACUU